rnacentral:rRNA from 1 species
AUGCGGGACUCAUCAGAGGCCUCGCAAUUGGAAUGAGCGCACUUUAAAUCGUUCGACGAGGAUCUAUUGGAGGGCAAGUCUGGUGCCAGCAGCCGCGGUAAUUCCAGCUCCAAUAGCGUAUAUUAAAGUUGUUGCAGUUAAAAAGCUCGUAGUUGGAUCUGGGGUUCGGGUCGGCGGUUUGCCGCUUCGGCGGCUACUGCCGUGCUCGACUCUUACUAGCCGGUGCGUCUUGCGGUGCUCUUCAUCGAGUGCCGUAGGAGCCUGGCAUGUUUACUUUGAAAAAAUUAGAGUGCUCAAAGCAGGCGAUUCCGCCUGAAUAGUGUUGCAUGGAAUAAUGGAAUAGGACCUCGGUUCUAUUUUGUUGGUUUUCGGAACUUGAGGUAAUGAUUAAGAGGGACGGUCGGGGGCAUUCGUAUUUCGGUGUUAGAGGUGAAAUUCUUGGAUCGCUGAAAGACGGACAAAUGCGAAAGCAUCUGCCAAGAACGUCUCCAUUAAUCAAGAACGAAAGUCAGAGGUUCGAAGACGAUCAGACACCGUCCUAGUUCUGACCAUAAACGAUGCCAACUAGCGAUCCGCAGUGGUUGCUAUAAACGGACUCUGCGAGCAGCUCCCGGGAAACCAAAGUGUUUGGGUUCCGGGGGAAGUAUGGUUGCAAAGCUGAAACUUAAAGGAAUUGACGGAAGGGCACCACCAGGAGUGGAGCCUGCGGCUUAAUUUGACCCAACACGGGGAAACUCACCCGGUCCGGACACUGUAAGGAUUGACAGAUCGAGGGCUCUUUCUUGAUUCGGUGGAUGGUGGUGCAUGGCCGUUCUUAGUUGGUGGAGUGAUUUGUCUGGUUAAUUCCGAUAACGAACGAGACUCUAGCCUGCUAACUAGUUGCGCCGUGUUCAUACGCGGCUGUAGACUUCUUAGAGGGACAGGUGGCGUUUAGCCACACGAAAUUGAGCAAUAACAGGUCUGUGAUGCCCUUAGAUGUCCGGGGCCGCACGCGCGCUACACUGAAGGAGUCAGCGUGUGCUAUCCGGGCUCGGAAGAGUUCGGUAACCCGUUGAAACUCCUUCGUGCUUGGGAUUGUGGCUUGUAAUUAUCGCGCAUGAACGAGGAAUUCCCAGUAAGUGCAAGUCAUCAGCUUGCGCUGACUACGUCCCUGCCCUUUGUACACACCGCCCGUCGCUACUACCGAUUGAAUGGUUUAGCAAGGUACUCGGAUUGGUCUCGAUCUUGUACGAAAGUGCGGGAUCUGUGGCCGAGAAGAAGGCCAAACUUGAUCAUUUAGAGGAAGUAAA